AUUGAACGCUGGCGGCAGGCCUAACACAUGCAAGUCGAGCGGUAACAGAGAGAAGCUUGCUUCUCUGCUGACGAGCGGCGGACGGGUGAGUAAAGCCUAGGAAUCUGCCUAGUAGUGGGGGAUAACUUGCCGAAAGGUAAGCUAAUACCGCGUACGUCCUACGGGAGAAAGCAGGGGMCUCUUCGGAGCCUUGCGCUAUUAGAUGAGCCUAGGUCAGAUUAGCUAGUUGGUGAGGUAAAGGCUCACCAAGGCGACGAUCUGUAACUGGUCUGAGAGGAUGAUCAGUCACACUGGAACUGAGACACGGUCCAGACUCCUACGGGAGGCAGCAGUGGGGAAUAUUGGACAAUGGGGGGAACCCUGAUCCAGCCAUGCCGCGUGUGUGAAGAAGGUCYUMGGAUUGUAAAGCACUUUAAGUUGGGAGGAAGGGCUUACGGUUAAUACCCGCUAAGUUUUGACGUUACCAACAGAAUAAGCACCGGCUAACUUCGU
rnacentral:rRNA from 1 species